AGAAUUUGGAAGGCAUUUACAAUCUGGAAGGUCACAGUAUGCCACUCAAAGACCAACAAAGCUAAGGAAAUAUUAUCCAAAGGUCUUUUUUUUACUGAUGACAUCUUCUUGAGAUGUCUGGUUGAAAUCAAAGGACUUUUUGAGAUGGCCAGUGACAAGACAAGAUAUGGGGAUUCUGACGGUGCCAUUGUUUUAACAAAGUUGGAUAAAUCCACCACAUACUCCUUGAUAGGCUUCUGUGAGGCCCAGAC